UCCUACGGGGGGCAGCAGUGGGGAAUAUUGCACAAUGGGGGAAACCCUGAUGCAGCAACGCCGCGUGAGUGAAGAAGUAUUUCGAUAUGUAAAGCUCUAUCAGCAGGGAAGAAGAUGACGGUACCUGAGUAAGAAGCCCCGGCUAACUACGUGCCAGCAGCCGCGGUAAUACGGAGGAUGCGAGCGUUAUCCGGAUUUAUUGGGUUUAAAGGGUGCGUAGGCGGUCCGUUAAGUCAGCGGUAAAAUUGCGGGGCUCAACCCCGUCGAGCCAUUGAAACUGGCAGACUUGAGUUGGCGAGAAGUAC
rnacentral:rRNA from 1 species